GAGGCAAAGGAGGCGGGAUCCACGGAGGUGGUCCGGCGGUCGCCCGCGGUGCUGGAGGUGGCGACGAAGAGUCUCUGGGACCGCCCUGAGGCGGCGACUACGAGUCUCUGGUGCUGCCCUGAGGCGACGACGAACACUGAGAGGCGGGGUCUCGGGAGGAGCACUGAGAGGCGGGGUCUCGGGAGGAGGGACGGAACUAGGGGGCUCUGGAGGAACUCUGGGGGAGUCAGGUGGGGCCGAGAACCCACUAACUGGGACCGCCUGUCGGCUUGGAGCAGUCU